rnacentral:rRNA from 1 species
AUGCAAGUCGGAUGUGCCGCAAGGUGCAUGGCAGACGGGUGAGUAACGCGUGGGAAACCUACCUCUUUGUGGGGAAUAACGCUCCGAAAGGAGUGGUAAUACCGCAUGAGACCAUGGACUGGGACGUCCAUGGUGAAACCUGGGGACCGUAAGGCCUGGGGCAAGGAGAGGGUCCUGCGUCUGAUUAGCUAGUUGGUGGGGUAACGGCCUACCAAGGCAACGAUCAGUAGCCGGCCUGAGAGGGUGAUCGGCCACACUGGAACUGAGACACGGUCCAGACUCCUACGGGAGGCAGCAGUGGGGAAUUUUGCGCAAUGGGCGAAAGCCUGACGCAGCAACGCCGCGUGGGUGAUGAAGGUCUUCGGAUCGUAAAACCCUGUCGUCAGGGACGAAGGUUAGUCGUUGAAUAGGCGAUUGACUUGACGGUACCUGGAGAGGAAGCACCGGCUAACUCCGUGCCAGCAGCCGCGGUAAUACGGAGGGUGCGAGCGUUGUUCGGAAUUAUUGGGCGUAAAGCGCGUGUAGGCGGUUUGUUAAGUCUGAUGUGAAAGCCCCGGGCUCAACCUGGGAAGUGCAUUGGAUACUGGCAGACUUGAAUACGGGAGAGGGCAGUGGAAUUCCUGGUGUAGGAGUGAAAUCCGUAGAUAUCAGGAGGAACACCGGUGGCGAAGGCGGCUGCCUGGACCGAUAUUGACGCUGAGACGCGAAAGCGUGG